UAUUGUUUGCCAACCGCUAAAAAAGAAGCUGUUGUUUGCCGUGUCGGAGUGCCAAGAGGACAUAAAGUGGAAGUUUGUAAGGGACAUUGGUCCAGCGUGGUACAGAGUCAUCGUGGGUUAUUCUGUGGGGAGGUGACAGGGCCUGCCGUUCUCCAGAUGGACAGUAAAAAUCAACAGAAUGCCAUCAAAGACUACCUGGAGGGAGAAUCGGAGGAUAUAUUGAAGCAAGGAAUCUCUCUGUGUAGUCUAUGUAUGUAUGUGUGUGUACUGCAUGUCAAGAACUGUUUAUCUGAUCAUUCAGCUGUUCAUUCAGCUGCUCAGACUUUAUAAUAUUUGAAGCAUACCUUUUGUUAAACACAACCAGUCAAAAGUUUUUGAACAGUGACAUUUUUUAAUGUUUUUAAAGAAAUCUCUUCUGCUCAUCAAGCCUGCAUUUAUUUAAUCCAAAGUACAGCAAAAAC
ensembl:lncRNA